AUUGAACGCUGGCGGCAUGCCUUACACAUGCAAGUCGAACGGUAACAGGUCUUCGGAUGCUGACGAGUGGCGAACGGGUGAGUAAUACAUCGGAACGUGCCUAGUAGUGGGGGAUAACUACUCGAAAGAGUGGCUAAUACCGCAUGAGCUCUACGGAUGAAAGCAGGGGAUCGCAAGACCUCGCGCGAUUGGAGCAGCCGAUGGCAGAUUAGGUAGUUGGUGGGGUAAAGGCUCACCAAGCCGACGAUCUGUAGCUGGUCUGAGAGGACGACCAGCCACACUGGGACUGAGACACGGCCCAGACUCCUACGGGAGGAAGCAGUGGGGAAUUUUGGACAAUGGGCGCAAGCCUGAUCCAGCCAUUCCGCGUGCAGGAUGAAGGCCCUCGGGUUGUAAACUGCUUUUGUACGGAACGAGAAGGCUCUGGUUAAUACCCGGGGCUCAUGACGGUACCGUAAGAAUAAGCACCGGCUAACUACGUGCCAGCCGCCGCCGUAA
rnacentral:rRNA from 1 species